rnacentral:lncRNA from 1 species
AGAACAGGCCAGAACAACAUCACAUCCAUUUAUACUGACACAAGGUUGAACUAACUGAUCCUUUAUCUGUGGAACAGGAACUCAUAAAUGUAUUUCAAUCAUUAAUGGGGGAGUGUGCUGCUGAACUCCCUUGUGCCAAUUCUGAAAUUAUGAAAGAGGGACAGUGCUUCAAUCUAGCUCACAAAGAAUGCUAAUUAGAGAGGUUACUCUGGAAGAGAUCACUGAAGCGGUUAAAGAAAUGCCUAAAGAUAAAGCACCAGGAGUAGAUGGCUUUCCAGUGGAAUUCUUUACUA